rnacentral:lncRNA from 1 species
GAAAGGGGUGGGGGCCUGGGGCUUCAAGGGGUAAGGCAAUUCACAACAGAGCAAAUGUUGGUCAACGAAGGUUGCCCUGCUAUACGGACAAGUCUCAGGAGAGCAAUAUGGCUGUGAGUGUCAUGUCACCAUCAAACAACACUGGAGCCUAACCGUCACAUCCCCAGUUUCCAGAGAUGAGGACAUGGACUUAUCUUUUGGGAGCCACCAUUCAACUCACUACAAUGUCCUAGAAGACUUCUGAAGCUAUAUAAUGGAUUCCAGGGAUGAUAUAACACACAACUAUAAAUCAAGAUUCACCCUGAGCUAACGUCUGUGCCACUCCUUCUCCACUUUGCAUGUGGGACACUGCCACAGCAUGGCUGAUGAGCGGAGUUUGUCCACAGCCAGGAUCCAAACCCAAGAACCCUGGUCGCCGAAGCAGAGUGCAUGGAACUGUAACCAUUCAGCCACAGGCCUGGCCCCUGAUAUAAUCUUUUGACAAAGUCACACACAGCUAAAUAACACACUUGUCUCAGCCAUAAUCUCAGAGUUCCAGCAACCUCUUUGAAUUACCAAUUAUAUUCAUUAUGUGACAUGUAAUUUAAUAAAUAGAGACUCUCUCUUUAGUAUUCGUUAUCUUGUUCAUAGUGCUACUCUCUCAGAUUAUGCUUUUAUUUAAAUAAUACCAAUUAAACUUUUAAAAAUUCAGUACUGUGAUAAAUUUUAAACAAUCCAUAUAAUAAUACAAAUUAAUAAGCCAAUAUUAAAAUGUAUCCCCAUUGUUAUCUAAAUUGUUUCAAAUUUUUAUAAAUUCAGUAUCUCUAUUAUUGACUGAGUCAUGAAAUAAUUUAUUGAAAUAUUUAAUAAGCUUAAUUUUUUUGUUUUCUCCCACUUCAGUGAACAUAGUUUAGCAAAUUUAUUUGGACAAUUUUCAGGAUUCAAUAAAUUAUAAAGUUUUGUUCUUCAGUUAUCAAAACAACAAUUGCAUUUCAUAUAGUUAGUGGACACUCUGCUAAUGUCUAUUAAAAUGAUAUUUUAUUUUGCUUUAUUUUAAAUAAUAGGAUUUUUUUUACAUUACUAUGAUAUCACUUGCUUCACUUUCACAUUUUCCUUUACUUAAUUUUAUAUGUUCAGCCAUUUCUACAUUUGUUUAUUGCUGUCAGCUUUGGUAGCUGGGUAUAUUUUUGUUGUAAAGCUAAAGACUCUAUUGAAUCUCUAUUAGACUAUCAGUUACUGAAGCCAAGUCUCUAUAAAUAUUUCAUUUUACAAUUAUUUAAAUACCCCAUUUCACAAUUUUUAUUAAAUGCCUAGACAAGGUUUUUAUAGUGUUGGCAUCAAACACUGUCUGUUGAAGUCGAAAUAUUCUUCCAAUUUCCAUUAUUUUACUCUAAGAUCUUAGGAUACAUUUUGAUUUGACUUGAUAAGACACAAUUUGAUCCUCACUAAAAUUUGUUUGAUGUAUGGAAGUAAAUAAAAGUUUAUCAAGAAAAUAUUUAAAGUGAUGUCCAUCAUCUGGGGAUAAUUGAGUACAAGGACCGACACAGUGCUGAAUUAAAACAUCUGGACUUUUUUCUAGAGUUUUUCCUGGAACUCUCAACUUUCUCCCAGCAUUCCUCUAACAUCAUCUGUAUAAAAUUCAAAGAGAUUUUCAUCUAUCUCAUCAAAACUAUUUUUCAAGAAAUAAUAAAAUUAGAUGUUAUGUUAGCUGUUGUUCUUUCUAGCUCUGAGAUCAACAAAAGUACUAAACUAUAUGUUAAAUCAUAAACUUCAGAUUUUAAGUAAAUUUUUAAAACAUUUUUAUGUGAGACAGUUGAAGCUUCAUUAAUAAUUUAAAAUUUUGAAAUUCAAUUGCCUUGAUCUAUGUUUUCUGAAAAAUGUUACCUCAUUUCUGUUUUAUACCCGGAGGGACCAUAAAUCUAGACUGCGAUCUUAUACUCAUUUUGAUACUAUUUGUUUCUUGAAGGUCUAUUAAAUCAUUUAUGUCUGAAAAUGCUUGAUUGUUUCUAACUACGGUAUUAAAAAUUCUUACGACACUUUCC